UUAAGCGACUAAGCGUACACGGUGGAUGCCCUGGCAGUCAGAGGCGAUGAAGGACGUGCUAAUCUGCGAAAAGCGCCGGCGAGGUGAUAUGAACCCUUGACCCGGCGAUGUCCGAAUGGGGAAACCCAGUGUGUUCCGACACACUAUCGUUAACUGAAUACAUAGGUUAACGAGGCGAACCGGGGGAACUGAAACAUCUA
rnacentral:rRNA from 1 species